UUCAGAUCAUUCUUCCCGCCGCAAAUUGCAAUCAGAUAUGAACCCUAAGCAAAUCUCUCAAUGGUCGACUUCCCAUCUUGGUUCGUACCUCCAUCGCAAUGUGGAAGAAGCCUACGGCGUGUUCUGUGUCUUCGGAGUAGCCAUGAAAGUCGUUCGAGAUCGACGGGAGCAGUAUAGCUCUCGCUGUUUUCAUAGACGUCACCAAUUCCAAACAGAUUCCAGAUAUUUUCCCGGUGCUUGCGGCUGCAUAUAAGACACUUGUAUCCAAGUCGAGGGAUUCUCUGUCUACAAUUAUUCGGGUUCAAAGCAUGUAAUUCUUUCUGACUUCUUGGAUAUGACAGACUGUUGCUAAUUUAUUUGUGGGUAUGGACGAGUGAUCUUUGGACUUAAUCAUAUGCAGAUUACAGAGUUUUUGAAAAGAUGUGGAAUUUCUGAUGAAGUCCAUCGAGAAACUAAUACAUGGUAAAGAGAUCAACCUAGAGGAAUUGGGAGGGAGAGCAGACCAAGCUUGGAUACGAAAGCAUUUUAAGAUAACUGGACCCGAGUUGACGGUAUCAUCAUCACAUGUAGAAUCGCUGCGCGGGAUGCCUUGUAGCUGCAAAACCUGCAACAAGUUUCAUCUUUGGCUGUUGGCACACAGUCACUCCUCUAUAGGUGAAUGCAUUGAUUUGUUUUACAGUAUAAUUACUUUUAGGUUGAUGAUGUCUAUAUGGAAUGUUCAAAUGAUUAUGCUGUUUAUGUCUGAUGGGAAUUGAUUAAUUUGUAAUUAGAUUGAUGAUGUCUAAGCAAUUUUAUAGAAUUCUCAGGUAAUCAUGCUGUUAAUGGUUAUUUGUUUUAUGAAAUUUAUUGAAUACAAUUGAAGCUAGGUGACUUCUUUGAGCCUAACUUAGUCAUAUUUUAUAAUCUUAAAAAUUUAUGUUCGAUCUUAUCAUUAGGAUAAGCUUUUUAUCCAUUCUUUCAUAUUUUCUAUAAAUUUAGAUGGGAAGAUAGAUUACUCGUAUAUUUAUUAAAGACUAUCUUGUUCUAUAUUUUGAGAUUC